AGUUGUCUCUGUUGUGGCCGAAGUCUAGGCCCGAGAGUGCAAAACGUGCUGCUGGCGCCCCAGGGAGGGUCCGCCUCAAAGAAGAAGAUGGAGCUGAGUCGCUGGAAACGGUUAUCAAGGAAGCUGAAUCUCAAGGUGAUCCCAGUCGGGAGCUUUGAGGAACAUGGGCCGGCCCUAGGCGCCACACAGUCCUGAAGCCAGCCGCUUCCCGCCCUGCGCUUCCUCACUCUUCCCCCGGGGGCAUCCUUACCUGGCCUUGGCUACCCUAGAGCCUGCACAGCCCUAGGUAGCGUGAUUUAAGGAGCCAAAGGGUCUGUGUACUCACUACUGUGAUGGGCUGCAUCCUGUAAGGAUUAUUUCUAUCUAUGGAGAGGUCUCCUAGUGUCCAUCAUGGUGAGGGGAAUUUGCCCCUAAUCCUUACUCUGCCACCAAUUUUAGGAAACUUUCCGCACAUUUUCUUCUGCCCCCUUCAAAUCUGAGUUAAGGGGUCUUUAAAAGGAAAAAAAAAAUCAUCACACGAAAUUCUCUGACGUUAUCCCUUAUAUCUUUCCCUUUCCAGUUUUACACAAGGUAUCUAAAAUGAACCCAGAAGUCCAGAUGGUUGUAUCUCAAUACUUUAUCCAUAUGGUUAUCUCUAAAUUUCACGAGCAUUCAAAGUUAGAGCCUCCCUGUAUCUCUUACCUCUUCUGUGUAUUAGCACCUAAAGGCAUCAGGAGGUUGAGGAAGAAUUGGGGUGGGGGUGGGGGGUAAUUAAAAAUAAAAGAGACACCAUUUAAAACUUGGAACAUUACAAAAGUCACAGCCAUGCAAAGUCACAGCCACACCAAGUGUGCCUUCCAGAAUACCUCUUAACAGUCACAAAAAUAGAUGCUUUAAAUGUAAAGGAGAGUAUUGAAAUGGAGGGGCUUCAGCUUUCAGCAGCAGAGCAGUUUCACCAGCUGCUCUUACCUUUCAGUUUUACUUUCCUGUAAAAAGAAAAAAAAAUCCUCUUAGACGAGUGGCUUUUGUGGGGGCCCCAGGUAAUCAUUCUUGUGGGUUAUCCUAAAUAUAGCAGCUGUGUGCACAGGGCACAUUCCGCUUAGUGAAAACCAUGCUCCAGAUACCAGAGGGCACAGGCCAGAGCAUUAGUGAGUGGAAACUGAGGUUGCUCCAUUGCAUAAUAGAUGGGGCCCGAAAUAGCAUAUGAAUAUAGAUUUGAUGAUGCAAG
rnacentral:lncRNA from 1 species